rnacentral:rRNA from 1 species
AUGCACAGUGCAGAAGAUCGUGGGCCGCAUACUUCACUGCAUCCUCCUAGCCGUCCUAGGCUGUGGUGUUGUCGACUUGGGAGCGGCGGCCGCGGCGGCAGGUCGGAUCAGAUCAAUGCGGACGGUGAGCGUGAGCGUGUCGCCGGAGAGCAGCUCCUGGGGCACGGCCAAGAACAUCCCCUGCCCCGGCGCCGGCGCGCCGGUGGACAGCGCGCUGCUGCUCACCGCCGAGGCCAUGAGGACCAGCCUGUCCCUGUUGUCGCCGCCCAGGCGCUCCACGGAGAGCUUGCACCAGAACUGCGGCGCCGCCUCGCCGUCCGGCCGGACGCACACCAGCGACACGGCGGUGGCCGCGCCGAGCGGGCCCAGGGACACGAGGAACACGCUGCCGUCCUCCUCCCCGACGAGGGCGUGCCAGCAGCCCGACACGGAGAGGCCGAGGUCCCGGGCCCGGCCGUAGCGGACCGUGGCGGCGGGGCGCCGGUGGACGGCCGCGAAGUGGUCAAGGAGCGCCGCGCGGGAGCCCGCGAAUGCGCACGCCGGGUCCGGGCAGGAGCAGGGCGCGCAGUGGCACGCGCGCUGGUGGUCCGCGGCCUCGUGGUACACGACGUGCCGCUCGCAGCCGAACGCCCUGUAGGGGCACGGCACCUUGGCGGCGCCCACCACGGCGUCCAGCUCGCCGCAGUGCGUGCUGGCGCGGCUGCAGAUCGUGCCGUGGACGGCGCGGCAGUGGUAGCACACGACGUGCCCGGCGGCCUCGCACUGCGGCCGGAAAACGCAACACAACCCCCAAAUCAUCAGCUUCCAUGCCCGUUGCACUUGCAAGAUGAUAGACGGACAUGGAUUUCUUCCAGAAAAAUCUGUGGUCGCUCUCUGGGGGCGAGGGGAAAGAAGGGAUCACCUUGA